rnacentral:rRNA from 1 species
UACGUAGGACCCAAGCGUUAUCCGGAUUUAUUGGGCUUAAAGGGUGCGUAGGCGGAUUAUUAAGUCAGUGGUGAAAGCCUGCAGCUUAACUGCAGAACUGCCAUUGAUACUGAUGAUCUUGAGUAUGAUUGAGGUGGGCGGAAUGUGUCAUGUAGCGGUGAAAUGCUUAGAUAUGACACAGAACACCGAUUGCGAAGGCAGCUCACUAAGCCAUAACUGACGCUGAUGCACGAAAGCGUGGGGAGCAAACAGG